AGUACAAACAACUUUUCGCCGUACCACAGUUUUCUAGAUCGAAACUUCGUUACUGAAUAAACAUUUUCAAGAAGUUCUCAUCUAUGUGUGUCUGGUUGAAGAGAGUGUUUCCCUAACCUAAUUGCCUUUGGAUUUGUCAUUCUUCGAGUUACCUAUCCUUUGCUUAAGUACAUCCCGCUUCGAGUAACUUUUCCUUUUGUUCAGCUCACA